CAGAAACCUAUGCUGUGUCAACUAUUUAAUCACAAUCCAAAUUUAGAGCUGAAUCCAGCUUGAAUGUUGUGUCCAUACUUGCCCUAACCGUUCAGGGUUCAACCUCUGCGGUCGUAUAAAGCUACGCCCUGCGGAGCAUCUGGUUGAUUCUAAUAUUAUAACUGUUUGACAUGGCGGUGUUAACCUAUUAGAUUAAUGAAUAGGAAUUUGAAAUAAGUCGAUAUGAGAAAAAGUACUUGCUUGGUCUCUAAAACUAAUGAAAUAUUAAAAGCACUGAAUGACAAGCUGUAACACUCAUGGUCACUCCUGGUACUCAGUUGAAAAAUAUCAAUUGUAGCGUACAAGUGAGGGCAUUUAAUCAUUUAUUUCAUGAUUCAGAUACAUUAUUACUCAAUAGAUUUAUUUAUUUUGUAAAUAUAGUUAUAUCAAUUACAUUGUAAUGUUUGUCUUUAACUUCGUACUAACACAAACAUAAAUAUCUUGAACAAAGGGCAGCAAUACUAUCAUUAUACAUAGCCAUAGUAUAAACAAAGCUUAAAGAACGAUUUUUGAUUGAUUUGUUGAUUGAUUGAUGAUAAAAAAAAUACAAGUGUUUUGUUAGAUAUGAAUACGACAUUCCGUUAUUACAUACAUUCCAAAGAUAUAUUAUAUACAUAAUAUAUGUUUGUGUUGCUAUAGUAUGUAACUGAUAUAUGUCAAAAUUACAUAGAUUGUCGAAACAUAGGUAUACGAAAAUCAAUAAUUUAGAUUAAAGUGUCAGCUUGGUUGACAAGACAAAAUUAUGAGUGACCAAUUAAAAUGUUGUGGUCAGUUACGAAAUUAUGUAACGAGAAUUUUCAUUGGUAAAACGAAGAAAACCUGGGAUCUCUUAUCACGUGAGCAACGACCUUUUUAAGCUAGUGUUUUUAUACGACAUAACUACUGCUUUGUAAUAAAGAAAUCGUUCAUUAUUAUAAACUUAAAAGAGACAUUGAAGAAUUAAUAAUCUUGCUUCACAUGGUUUCUUUUUCCAGAAACUCCUUCUCACUUUGCCCUGUCAAUGUGUGAUGUCAAAUUUUAAAAGCCAUGUCAUUUGUGAUAAGUAUGAAAUAGUUCUUUGUAAUUGUUUUUUUUUUAAAUUUCAAAAUCCUUCCACGUGAAACAAAACUCUUGCAAGGAAAAUAUGUUUCUUAGUGUAUCAUUUAUAUAUAUGCUUUCACAAAACAAUUUGGUUAGAAAAGUAAAGUCAAGUAAAUUUUGAUGGCAUCUUGUUAUUUAUAAUUUCCUCUAAUAAAUGUCUACGAUUUCGUCAGUCCGAAUUAAAACUUUUGAUAAUUAUCACUUGAAAAAAGUGUUGUAAAUUAAUUAUACCUUGCUAGAUUUUUUCUUUAAACAAUACUUAAGCUUUAUAUUUGACAUGCCUUUCGGCUUUGUUGAUAUACCCCAGUUUUUGAACUACAGAAAAAUGAAAAACUGCACAUAUUCAAAUGUAUUUUUAUUCAAAUAAUGCAGAUUUAUGAAUAUAGGAAAAAACAAGAUGAUUGAAGUAACGUGUACAUAAUAUAUCAAAUCUUUGUAAUUGUGUAUAUUUUGUAUGAUUGUCUCGAAGUGUAUAUAAUUCUAG
rnacentral:lncRNA from 1 species